CACGUAGGGCGCAAGCGUUGUCCGGAAUUAUUGGGCGUAAAGAGCUCGUAGGUGGUUUGUUACGUCCGCUGUGAAAUCCUAGGGCUUAACCCUGGGCUUGCAGUGGAUACGGGCAGACUAGAGGUAGGUAGGGGAGAAUGGAAUUCCUGGUGUGGCGGUGAAAUGCGCAGAUAUCAGGAGGAACACCGGUGGCGAAGGCGGUUCUCUGGGCCUUACCUGACACUGAGGAGCGAAAGCGUGGGGAGCGAACAGG
rnacentral:rRNA from 1 species